CUUCACUGAUGACCUUCUGUUAGUGCCACGUCUCUGCGCUGGUGAUUCAAAUGAUGAUAUCGAGGAUCCACUAAC